GAUGAACGCUGGCGGCGUGCCUAAUACAUGCAAGUCGAGCGAAUGGAUUAAGAGCUUGCUCUUAUGAAGUUAGCGGCGGACGGGUGAGUAACACGUGGGUAACCUGCCCAUAAGACUGGGAUAACUCCGGGAAACCGGGGCUAAUACCGGAUAACAUUUUGAACCGCAUGGUUCGAAAUUGAAAGGCGGCUUCGGCUGUCACUUAUGGAUGGACCCGCGUCGCAUUAGCUAGUUGGUGAGGUAACGGCUCACCAAGGCAACGAUGCGUAGCCGACCUGGGAGGGUGAUAGACCACACUGGGACUGAGACACGGCCCAGACUCCUACGGGAGGCAGCAGUAGGGAAUCUUCCGCAAUGGACGAAAGUCUGACGGAGCAACGCCGCGUGAGUGAUGAAGGCUUUCGGGUCGUAAAACUCUGUUGUUAGGGAAGAACAAGUGCUAGUUGAAUAAGCUGGCACCUUGACGGUACCUAACCAGAAAGCCACGGCUAACUACGUGCCAGCCGCCGCAGUAA
rnacentral:rRNA from 1 species